AUGGAGGCGGUGAAGGCGGAAGCGUGGGAGGGGGCCGCGGUGGCCCAGGACCUGCUGGCUCUGGGGUAUGGAGGUGUCCCGGGGGCGGCGUCGCGGGGCGCCUCAUGCCCAGACUUCAGGGGGCUGUGCGUGCGGCUGGCGGCGGAGCUGGGGACGCUGGGCGCCCUCGAGCAGCAGCGAGAGGCGGGCGCGGAGGUGCUGAGCGCCGGCGACGGUAAACACGGAGCGGGAGGGUGGCAGGGGGGCCGCCACGGGGCCACCGAGCCCUGACACCCCUGUCCUCGCAGGCCCUGGCGCGGAGGAGGACUUUCUGCGGCAGCUCGGCAGCCUGCUGCGGGAGCUGCACUGCCCGGAUCGCGCGCUCUGCGGCGGGGAUGGCGCGGCAGCGCUUCGGGAACCCGGUGCCGGACUGCGCCUGCUGCGCUUUCUCUGCUCAGAGCUCCAAGCCACCCGCCUCCUGUGCCUGCGCUCUCUGCUGGAUCCGAGUCCUAGGCCACCCCUUGGUGAAGGGGUGGUGGAGGGGGCCGGCAUGGUCCAAGAACUGGACCUUACCCUCCAAGCCCUGGGGCUGCCCAGACCUGCACCAGGGACCCCCGCCAGCCAGCUGCUGCAGGAGUUGCAUGCUAAGAUCUCAGAGCUGCAGCCUUCUCUGCCCCCAGGGUCCCUGCAGCCCCUCCUCAGCUGCUCGCUAGAUGCACCCAGAUGGGAAGCGUUGGAGUCUCUGUCCCAAAGCCUCAGAGAUCAGUACCGCUGCCGCCGCUGCCUCCUCCUCAAGCGCCUUGACCUCACUACAUCUGCUUUCCACUGGAGUGACCGGGCAGAGGUGUGGUGGGCAGGGGACCGUGCAGAAUUGGAGAGGCCCAGUUGUGGGGGCUGCAGUUGCAGGGAGGAGGAAUGAGGGCCAGGAGUAUCACCCUCUUGCAGGUUCUCAGGCCGUGGACAUUUUAUAAUUUUUUGAGGUUUGGGGCUCCUAGAAUCUCAGGGUCCCAGGGUAUUGUUGAAUUCCCAGCUCUGAGCUGGGAGUAUAUUCAGAGGCAUACCCCAUCAUUUUUUUUUUUUGAGAUGGGGUCUCGCUCUGUUGCCAGGCUGGAGUGUGGUGGUGCGAUCUCAGCUCACUGCAACCUCCGACUCCCGGGUUCAAGUGAUUCUCCUGCCUCAGCCUCCUGAGUAGCUGGGAUUACAGGCACAUGCCACCAUGCCCAGCUAAUUUUUGUAUUUUUAGUAGAGACAGGGUUUCACCAUGUUGGCUAGGAUGGUCUCGAUCUCCUGACCUUGUGAUCUGCCUGUCUCGGCCUCCCAAAGUGCUAGGAUUACAGGCAUGAGCCACUGCACCCAGCCUUUUUUUUUAAUUUUUUUUUUUUUUUUUUUUUUUGAGACAGAGUUUUGCUUUUCUUGGCCAGGCUGGAGUGCAAUGGUGCGAUCUUGGCUCACCGCAACCUCCGCCUCCUGGGUUCAAGUGAUUUUCUUGCCUCAGCCUCCCGAGUAGCUGGGAUUUCAGGCAGGCACCACCACGCCGGGCUAAUUUUGUAUUUUUUAGUACAGACAGGGUUUCUCCAUGUUGGUUAGGCUGGUCUCAAACUCCCAACCUCAGGUGAUCUGCCUGCCUUGGCCUUCCAAGGUUCUGGGAUUGCAGGCAUGAGCCACCACGCCUGGCCAAGUGUACCCCAUCUUUAAGAGAUACGAGCAGAGUAAGGCACAGUGGCUCAUGCCUGUUAUCCCAGCACUUUGGGAGGCCAAGGCAAGAGGAUCACUUGAGCUCAGAAGUUUGAGACCACCUUGGGCAACAUAGCAAGACCCCCAUCUCUACUAAAAAUUAAAAAAAAAAAAUUAGCUGGGCAUGGUGGCGCAUGCUUGUCAUCUCAGUUACUCAGGAGGCUAAGGUAGGAGGAUCACUUGAGCCCAGGAGAUUGAGGCUGCAGUGAGCCACCAUCACGCCACUGCACUCCAGGCUGGGUGACAGCGAGACCCUGUCUCAAAAAAUAAAUAUUUAUUUGAGCUGUGGGCAGUGAGGUCUUGAAUGGUAAAGUGAUGCUUCCAAGAUGACAGGUCCCACUUGGGGAAGGGCUCCAGGGUACCUUCUCUUACCUCCUCCCCACUCCAGGCCCAAGGAGAGGCCAUGAGGGCAGUGCUGAUCCCAAUUCGAGAGGUUCUGACCCCAGAAUCGGAUAUCUCCAUUGCACACGUUCUGGCUGCCCGAGCCGACCUGUCUUGUCUCGUCCCAGCCACCAGCGUGGCUGUCCGCAGAGGGACCUGCUGUGCCAUCAACAAGGUGCUUAUGGGCAACGUUCCAGACCGGGGGGGCCGCCCAAAUGAGCUGGAGCCUCCCAUGCCCACCUGGAGGAGCCGAAGAGAGGAUGGAGGCCCCCAGUGUUGGGGUCGCAAGAAGAAGAAGAAGAAGAAGUAAAGGGGGACUGGUGGUCGGGGGCGGGGGGUCCUCCAUGAGAUGCUAAUGCUAUCGGUAAUCUCUGGGGAGUCCGUUUAAGGCUUUCCUUGGUAUUUGGCACCCAAGCCCCCCAUCUCCUAUUCCUGAGUCCCCAAAUGCCCUGCUCCCAUUCACGUCAAUACCAAGAACCAUGUUCUCCAGAGAAUAAAUUUAAUUUAUGACAGCUG
rnacentral:sRNA from 1 species